AUAAGGUAUCAUUCCGCCAAUGAGAACAAUACCAGUUAGAACAGUUGCC
rnacentral:sRNA from 1 species